UUCUGAUAAAGGAAUCUUUUGCCCGUCCUAAAAACACGGGCGAAUAAGGGGUGGGCAAGUCUGGUGUCAGCCGCCGCGGUAAUACCAGCACCUCGAGUGGUCAGGACGAUUAUUGGGCCUAAAGCAUCCGUAGCUGGUUUUGCAAGUCUCCGGUUAAAUCCACCUGCUUAACAGAUGGGCCGCUGGAGAUACUACAAGACUAGGGAGUGGGAGAGGCAGACGGUAUUCGGGGGGUAGGGGUAAAAUCCUCUGAUCCUUUGAGGACCACCAGUGGCGAAGGCGGUCUGCCAGAACACGUUCGACAGUGAGGGAUGAAAGCUGGGGGAGCAAACCGGAUUAGAUACCCCCGUAGUCC
rnacentral:rRNA from 1 species